AUGACGUCAAGUCCUCAUGGCCUUUAUGUCUAGGGCUACACACGUACUACAAUGGCCGGUACAAAGGGCAGCCACUCAGCGAUGAGGCGCUAAUCCCAUAAAGCCGGUCUCAGUCCGGAUCGCAGUCUGCAACUCGACUGCGUGAAGUUGGAAUCGCUAGUAAUCGUAGAUCAGCAUGCUACGGUCGAAUACGUUCCCGGGCCUU
rnacentral:rRNA from 1 species